CCUACGGGUGGCAGCAGUGGGGAAUAUUGCACAAUGGGGGAAACCCUGAUGCAGCGACGCCGCGUGAAGGAAGAAGUAUUUCUGUAUGUAAACUUCUAUCAGCAGGGGAGAAAGUGACGGUACCUGACUAAGACUCCCCGUCUAACUACGUGCCAGCCGCCGCGGUUAUACGGAGGGGGCAAGCGUUAUCCGGAUUUUCUGGGGGUAAAGGGAGCGUAGGCGGGGAGGCAAGUCAGGAGUGAAUGCCCGGGGCUCAACUCCGGGAGUGCUUUUGAAACUGUAUGGCGAGAUUGCAGGAGAGGCAAGUGGAAUUCCUGGUGUAGCGGUGAAAUGCGUAGAUAUUAGGAGGAACACCAGUGGCGAAGGCGGCUUGCUGGACUGUAAAUGACGCUGAGGCUCGAAAGCGUGGGGAGCAAACAGGAUUAGAUACCCCAGUAGUC
rnacentral:rRNA from 1 species